rnacentral:rRNA from 1 species
GAUCAGAUACCCUCGUAGUCCCAUUUCGUUACAUCAAACGAUGGGAUCUUGCUUUGGGCACGAGCUUACCAGAAAUGUGAGACAUUCCCCUCCGGGGGUAGUAUACACGCAAGUGCGAAACUUGAAGGAAUUGACGGAAGGGCACCACAAGAUGUGGAGCAUGUGGCUUAAUUUGACUCAACGCGGGGAAUCUUACCGGGUCCGGACACACUGAGGAUUGACAGGCGCAAGUCCUUUCAUGAUUGUGUGAUAGGUGGUGCAUGGCCGUUCUUAGUUCGUGGAAUAAUCUGUCUGCUUAAUUGCGUUAACGAACGAGACCCCAACCUAACAGAAGGGGACUGUUAAAAGGAAGGUUGGGGCAAUAACAGGUCUGUGAUGCCCUUAGAUGUUCCGGGCUGCACACGUGCUACAAUGAUCUAUGCACUAAGCAUCGGUAUCAUAGUGGGGACAGACCAUUGUUUGGUCUCGCUUUAACUAGGAAUGCCUUGUACAGGUGGUUCAACAGACCGCCUGUACGUCCCUGCCCUUUGUACACACCGCCCGUCGCUCUUACCGAUGGACUACUCCAUGAGUCUGAGGGUGGCAUGGUCUAGAGGAAAGAGAAGUCGUAACAAGGCAUCUGUAGGUGAACCUGCAGAAGGAUCA